CUGUUCAAGCCCAGCACAGUAAUUUGGAUCAUGACUUAGAGAACAUCUCCAGAGAAGAUAAGAUUUUGUCAUCUGAGGUGGAUUUACAGGAACAUAAACUGGAUGAGGAUCUUCUGUCUCCUGUCCCAUUACUUAGCUCAACACAAACUUUAUCCGCAAAAGUUCUUGUGGACGGCACUGAUAAAAGAAAUACAGAACCAAAUGACCAAGUUCUCAGUGAUUCUUCAUCAGCACCAUUUGAAGCACACAGUCUGGUUUCAUCUUUUUCUGAUCCUCUCAAUGAACAUGCAAGCAGCCUGUGUGAUAUGGACACGAUGCAGUUUGGCAAGUGUGCAGCUGAAGACAUCCAAAUACCAGACGAGCAGGAUUCUGGAAAGGAAGAUUGCACAGAAGAGCCAUCAGAAGCUUCUGAGGUGAAGAGUCCUGACUAACAUUGCACCUUGUGUAUUCUCUGUUUGCUAAAUGAAAUAAACACCUUUGAACUAAUGUUUUCUGGCA
ensembl:lncRNA